CCCUCCCUUAUAAAAACAGGUGGAGGAUAGGUGAGAGCUCUCUUCCUGCCAUGGAUCUUGGCUCGAGGUACUGCUCCUGUUUUUGGUCUUGCCACUGAGCACCGGUCUCGGAUGGACCUUCCCAGCCACAGAUGGCCUUGCCCAAUACUUCCCUGGUAAAUGAAAAUAUCACCUCUCCACAAACUCUGGACAAGGAAGGGAAGAGCAUGGUUACACUACUCAGUGAAUACCAUGUCCUCAUGAGCCUUUGACUUAAGCAAUAGAAACAGGUCAUGAUUAUUGAGUAGGCAUGGCAGUUCAGCUGAAGGAUGAUCAAUGAACUUCAACCCAGAUGCAGAGCUUGACUGGCAGAAAAGAAUUCUU